AUGACAGCUAUCAGUGGUGCUUUCCUUUAUGUCUUUUUUAAACACUUGGCCGUAAUCCUUUAUAAUAUUAUAAUAUUGUAUAAUUAGUUGUUUUGUGGGUUUGUAAGUUUGUGCUUCUGCUCCGUUUCUGUGAUUGCAGCGUUUUUCUGUUGCAUUUGUUUUAUGUGUUUGUGUGUUUUUGGAUUUUCAUCAUUCCUGUGUUUGAAGCGUUUUGCCGUUUGCAGCGCGUUUGCCCUUAUCGGCCACCGUAGGUAAGAGUCACUUCUUUGUUGUUCUCUCUCUCUUGUGUUUUCUGUGAAUUGUAUUUCAUGUUCGUGUGAGAAAGUGUUUCUUCCACUGUAUUCAUGUUGUUAAUAGUAUGCAUGGUGGGUUGACCUGUUUACGGUUUUAUGUUGUUUUACAGAAAAUGGCGAAAUAUACUUUGCCAACGAAGUUUCCCGCACUAAACGUUGAUGUGGUCGAGAGCGUCCGACAGACGCUCCAGUUGUCUUCUUAUGCUGUCAUAGAUCCAACUGUGACAAGGGAAAGUCUGUACAGUACAGUGCUUAAUUCCCAUGGAUUUGCUUUGGAAGCAAUAAUACGGGAAGUGAGGCAGAGAAAGGCUGCAGAGCAAGAGGUCUCUUCAUUGAGACUGCAGAUGUCUGCAUUGAGAUUGCAGUUGAUUGCCUUGGGAAGAAGAAGUUGGAGCUGCUCUUUCUCAGCGAUGGUCAAUGGGGGAUCCUCAGGGUGAGGUGGAGGUUGUGGUUAACCAGGAGGUAGAGGAUUAUAGUUUUUAUAUAAUAAAGGUUUUUCACA